rnacentral:rRNA from 1 species
UACGUAGGGUGCAAGCGUUGUCCGGAUUUAUUGGGCGUAAAGAGCGUGUAGGCGGCCAGGCAGGUCCGAUGUGAAAACUGGAGGCUUAACCUCCAGCUGUCGAUGGAAACCAUCUGGCUAGAGUCCGGAAGAGGAGAGUGGAAUUCCUGGUGUAGCGGUGAAAUGCGCAGAUAUCAGGAAGAACACCAGUGGCGAAGGCGGCUCUCUGGGACGGUACUGACGCUGAGACGCGAAAGCGUGGGGAGCGAACAGG